rnacentral:rRNA from 1 species
GACAGAGGGUGCAAACGUUGUUCGGAAUUACUGGGCGUAAAGCGUGUGUAGGCGGCCGCGCAAGUCGGAUGUGAAAGCCCCCGGGCUCAACCCGGGAAGUGCACCCGAAACUGCGUGGCUUGAGUACCGGAGAGGUUGGUGGAAUUCUCGGUGUAGAGGUGAAAUUCGUAGAUAUCGAGAGGAACACCGGUGGCGAAGGCGGCCAACUGGACGAGUACUGACGCUGAGACACGAAAGCGUGGGGAGCAAACAGG